rnacentral:lncRNA from 1 species
GAGGUGCGUGUAUGCUGAUAGAUUGUGCUUAUAAGAAUCUCUUGUUCUUAUUUUUUUAUUUUUUAUUUAUAAAUUAAGAAUCUAUUGUUCAUUCUAUGAUUAAACACUAUUUUAUAUAUACUCACAUUUAACUAUGCGUUUACCUAAAAACAACAACCUUUACCUAAAAACAACAACCUUUACCAAAAAAUUUGAGUUAGCAAACGGAAAUAUGAGAUGUCUGGACUUGGAGCUAUCAUAUUUACCCGGUUAAUUUCAUGUGUAGGAGAUGGGAAAGUGCA